rnacentral:lncRNA from 1 species
CUCAACUCAAACAGUCUUGUGACUCCUCACAAGGACUAUCCUGGCCAAGAUUUUAUUAAAUUGAAACACGACUAUACAUAGCUCCUAAACUAGAGUGGUCAAUCUCAUCUUGACACACGUACCGAUAAGUCAAGUACUUGACUACACCCAGCAGCCUCCCAUCACUGAAUUAAAAAUUUAGGUAGUCCAAUGCCUAAGUGCAAUGAUUUGCUUGCAAGUCAUCGUGGUGG